rnacentral:SRP_RNA from 2 species
GCUGGGCGUGGUGGUGCGCGCCUGUAAUCCCAGCUACUUAGAAGGCUGAGGCAGGAGAAUCGCUUGAACCCGGGAGGCAGAGGUUGCAGUGAGCCAAGACUGCACCACUGCACUCCAGCCUGGGCUACAGAGCGAGACUCUGUCUCAA